rnacentral:rRNA from 1 species
UACAGAGGUCUCAAGCGUUGUUCGGAUUCAUUGGGCGUAAAGGGUGUGUAGGUGGCGCCGUAAGUCGGGUGUGAAAUUUCGGAGCUUAACUCCGAACUGCAUUCGAUACUGCGGUGCUUGAGGACUGGAGAGGAGACUGGAAUUUACGGUGUAGCAGUGAAAUGCGUAGAUAUCGUAAGGAAGACCAGUGGCGAAGGCGGGUCUCUGGACAGUUCCUGACACUGA